AUGGAAGUUCCCAGGCUAGGGGUCGAAUCAGAGCUGUAGCCACUGGCUUACACCACAGCCACAGCAACACAGGAUCCAAGCCACAUCUAAGACCGACACCUUAGCUCAUGGCAACACCAGAUCCUUAACCUAGUAAGCGAGGCCAGGGAUCGAACAUGUGUCCUCAUGGAUGUUAGUCAGAUUGUUUCCACAGAGCCAUGAUGGCAACUCCAGGGGCUACAAUCUUAGUUGAAAUGGAAGUCUGAAGUUUUCACAUAAGAAUGUACAAGAGAUUGAAAAAUAGCCUGGCUUUCACAUAAAGACAUUAGGAAACUGAAAUUAUGAAGAGUUUCAGUGAGGCUAUUUUUGAAGAAUAACAAAAAUAAGGAAUAAAACAAAAAAAUACAGAGUAACUGAAGAGGUGUUGGGUGAAGAAGUGUUACCAGGAGGCUAUGCAUGGUUGAGUGCAUUGAAUGUUGCUAUGAAGGUCCCUUCAAACCAUCCAUUGUUGUGGCUUCUUUCUCCAGAUGGACCAUAAAAUGGGCAAAGCAGGGUAAAGAGUGUUGGGGUGGGUAUCUGCUUUGUUGUACUCAGCUUCACUUUAGUCUCUGGUCUAUUUGCUUGUAAAGAAUUGCCUCAGGCAAUGUGUUAUGUGGAGGAAAACUAACCUUGUGACACUUUUCUCUCAAAACCUCUCUGAGCCUCUAGUUUUCCACUUACAGAAUAUGGAAAACAAGACCUACUUAACAGUGUUAUUCUGAGUGUCAUAAGAGACAAUAUGAUGUGAAAGCAUAGGAAGUUCAAAGUGCCAUACAAAGUUUAUACAUUAUGUAAAAGGGAAAAAUAAAGUUCUGUGGAUGUCAACAUAAAAUCUGUUAGAAAUAUGAAAAACAUGGGCUCUAAGUGCCACGUGAAAUCCUACAUGAACUUUCCUCCCUUAGGCUUGCACAUUAAUAUUUUUACAAUUUGCGAAACAAACACAGGUGAAAGGGAAUAGUUGAAAACUGUAGUAGUGAUUCUAUUGGGCUUAAAUUAGCCCUCUACUUUUUCAUUACUGAAGUUUUUUUUUCUUUGCAAUUAGAAAAAGAUAUGCAUAACACUAAUCAAUUAUGGCUUUACCCUAAACACUUUAUUAUAUGUCCAGAAAUUUUCUUCACAACAUACUUUCUUAAUUUCCUUAUUCUAAUGCUCAUUAGAUUAUGAAGAAUUCACUAGCUCUUUUUUGAUAGUAAAAAUCAUAAUACUUAACUGAAAACAAGAUGAAAUUAAGACCACUUUAUUAGAAUUUUUCAAAAGGAAAAUCUACUUUUAGGAAAAUCUCUGUCUUAUUUUUGCGACAAGAAUGAUGUGAAAGAUUAAAAGUAUACAUACUAAAUGACACUCAAAACAUUUUCAGUUUUAUCAUCAUUAAACAAAGUAAAAAUCAAAGUAAAAAAGGCUUCCCAUCAGUUAUUUAGCUCCUUUUUUUAAUAUGAUUUCAAAAAGUAGUUUAUCAUGGACCAGUUUGUCUCAUAACAUUUAUCGAGGCACUGUAUUUCCUGCUCAACUAUGGAUUAUAUAAUUUAAUCUUACAAGAUUCCAACAAAAUCAAUUCUGUUUUUAUCCCUAUUUAUACCUUUAAUAAAAAUCUGUCAUAGAAGUCAAUUUUGCAGAAUCUAUAAAAUAUUAAAAAUUGUAUUUAUCCUUUAACCCAUUAGUAAUGGCAUUUUCUUCUAGAAAUAUUCAUAUCCACAUAUGAUAUUAUGAUAUGAAGCAUCACCUAUAGGCUAUGGCUGCUCCAUGCAACAGGAGCUGAAUUUACCUGAUUGGGGUCUGGAGUAGCCACCUUGACUUACUGACAACACUUGGCAAGUAUGAGCUGGCUGUCAGCUAGGAGCUCAGAUGGGGGUCUGGGCCAGGGCCAUGGGUCCUCCCUACUUAAAGUGCUUGGGCUUCCUCACAACAUGGCAGCUGAGUCCAAGAGCAAGCAUCUCACAGUGACCAGAAGGAAGCUAGAUCUUCCUUUGCACCUAGCCUCCAAAGUCCACAAUAUCAUUUCCACCCAAAAUGUCAAUCCUCCCAUAUUCAAGGCAAGGUAUAAUCUGUCACAUUUUCUAAGAUACAGAAAGAAACAUUAGAUUUUUAAAUUCAUACCCUUUCAUAUCUUUUUCAAUUCUUGAUUUGUGUGGGUGAAUGUAUGGCCUAUUCAAAAUGCAUGUGUUUAUAUGUGCAUAUGUGUGUCUGUGUUUCCAGAGACACUUAGAAAGUUAAGCUCACCCAGGUAGUAAACCACAGAACUGAAAUUAAAGACUGGUAUAUCUAACUUUGAAGUCUAAGCUCUUUCCCACAUUGUGAUCCUGCUUCCUUCCCUCUCUGGAAUCAAACCCACUCAAGGUGACUAUUCUGUAAGUCCUGACACACUAGACUACAUCCUUCCUUUCCUGUAGAGGACUGUAUGCUAGCUCUCAGCACAUUUCUGAUUGUCAUUGUUCUGAAGCCUCUGGAGACCAGGCAGUUUCACUCUGGAUUCAAGCAACCGGAAGGAGAGUGGGGGCACAGUGAGUGGGUCAGACAUUACUUUACUAGCUUCACAGGCAGCGGGGGCAAAUCCCCACUGCCUUAUGUACUAGUAAAGAACAAAACCAGCAAUUUGCCAAAAUGUUACAUCAGAGGUGGUCCUCACCCUACCCUAUGGUGCAUGUAUUUACAUAAACAUUGGUACAUAAGAUUUGCUAAGUCAUCCCUCACCAGAAAGACUGUCAAGCUGUCAAGUGGAAGUGAAGUAAAAAGAACCUGAGCAAUUCCAUUUUCCCCACACUCUAUAUCUGCCUGAUGCCUGCUCUCCUUCACGUUGAAUACAGCAGACUGCUUGAUAAUGUGAUAUUUUAUUAUUUUUAAAAGAGAAAGAGAAAAAUGAUGCCUAAGAAGAAGCACUUUUACCUUUCUGGUAUUUUCAAAAGCUAAAUAAAAUUUUAAGAUCACAUGUAAGAAAAAUGAGCAUUGUCUACGUUAGUAUAUAUUAUUUGGACUGUCUGAAAAUCUCAUAAUCUGCAACAAAGUUUAUGGUCAGCAUUAUUUGUUUUUCAGAAAGAGCAGUCCUUCAUAUUUAGAAAUAUCAAAUGUCAAAAUUAAAAAGAAGUCUCCUGAGGAAAACAAAUUGCUAACCAGAAAUUUUGGGCUGUCAUCUCCACCAAAUCCUACCCUUGGGUGUUAUUAUCAUUAUUAACAUUAUUUGUCUUUUUGCGGGGGCUGCACGCAUAGCCUAUAGAAGUUCCCAGGCUAGAAGUAGAAUCAGAACUGUAGCCUCCAGCCUACACCAAAGCCACAGCAAUGCAGAAUCCGAGCCACAUCUACCACCUACACCACAGCCCACAGCAAUGCCCUAACUCACCAAAUGACUGAGGCCAGGGAUUGAACCCGCAUCUUCAUGGAUACUAGUCAGCUUCAUUACUGCUGAGCAAUGAUGGGAAUUCCCCCCUGGCUGUUCUAAUGAUACGGAAAAAACAAGGAAGAGAAUGACAGACAUUCUGCCCUGGACAGGCCACAUUACUACUGUAGACUUUGAAUUUUAGCAGGUAACAUAGACUAGGGCAGGAAAAAGGACCAAAUGAAUGUUGAAAUUAACUAGCACCCUCCUCACAGCCAACUUUCCUCCUUCCUGGAGCUCUUUGGAUCAUGAUGUGCCAGGGAGAGACCUGGUGCAUUUAUCUGUGCUUUGAUGCUUUGGGUCCAGCCAAGUGUUAUUGUUGGGGGGUAGGGGGUGGCAAAUGGAGGGACCACUGAAUUUAGAGUUCAAGUUUAAUUAUGCCACUGAGAAUAAUAACACAUACCUGCCCUGUUUAUUUCACCAUGGAGGGACCACUGAAUUUGGAGUUCAAGUUUAAUUAUGCCACUGAGAAUAAUAACACAUACCUGCCCUGUUUAUUUCACCAUGUUUAUGUGAGGCUCAAAAGUGCUUUGUAAACUGAAUGACAAUAAGGCUUUGUUAUUAUUAAAUUAAGGAAAACAAGUCAGGCAAUAGCAGACUUCAUGGAGUUAUCUGACUUGAAUCAGAACUUUACCACAGCAUGAAUGAAACAAACCAGUAUUUCUUUUUGACAGAAGGAAAAGAGAAAUUUCAAUUUCCAUGGUGAUUGCAUCUUAGAUUAACCAGUUUUUGCUUUAAAAACUGCUCUAGGAUGCAACUAGAGAUUAUCAUACUAAGUGAAGUAAGUCGGGAAGAGAAAGAUAUAUGAUAUCACUUAUUUGUGAAAUCUAAAAUAUGUCGCAAAUGAACCUAUCUGCAGAACAGAAACAGAUCACAGACAUAGAGAACAGACUUUUUGUUGGGAGAGGUGGGGAGUGGAAUGGAUGGGGAGUUUAUGGUUAGUAGAUGCAAACAAUUACAUUUAGAAUGGAUAAGCAAUGGGAUCCUACUGUAUAGCACAGGGCACUAUAUCCAGUCUCUUGGGAUAGACCAUGAUGAAAGAUAAUAUAAAAAAGGGAUGUAAAUGUAUAUAUGUGUGUGUGUGUGUGUGUAUGAGUGGGUUAUUUUCUGUGCAGUAGAAAUUGGCAGAACACUGUAAAUCAACUAUACUUUAAAAAAAAUUUAAAUGCUCUAAAAUGAAGUCAAAUAGAAGAGAUGCUGAAGAUAACUAUAAGGUACGUACACACAUUAUUAUUAUUAUUGUCAUUAUUAUUGUUUCCCAAAAAUGAUAAAUUUGAGGGAAAUGGAAAACAAAAUAAAAAAUAAUAUAAAAUGGAGACAUACUCGUUUUUUAACCUUUUUUUUCCUUCAACCAUGAGGUCAGCACUUUUCUCGAAGUCUGUUUUGGAUACAUAUUCAGAGAAAGAGAAUGAGCCAUCAGUAUAAGUAAAUACUAGUCCUUUAAGUGAGAAGGAUGAAGGAAUCUUCCUAAAUAAGAGAACAGGUCCAUGCACCCCAAGUUACCUGUUUCCUUAAAAAGUUGCUAAGAGAUGACAAAAAAAUAAUGUAACCCUAACAUUUAAACCAUGCUAAAAGCAAACAAAGCAUAACUUGGAACCCUAUUUUUUUAUAGGGAGGUUGGGCUACCAUUUUGAUUUAUUUCUGUUUUGAGAACAGGGACGUUUGGAUUCCAAUAAUAUAGAUUGGCUUAAUUUAAUCUUGGGGAGGGGGGGAAACUAUAAAAACUAAGAAACUAUAUAUGACAGAGUCUUGUUGAAUAAAUUUAAAAAAUUCCAGAUAUUUUGGGUGUCAAAGACUCAUAAAUCAUUGAUUAAGGCUUUAAAUAGCAAUUAUAUUAAUAAAUGCACUUUAGCAAGGAAAAAAGUGUUACUCAAUUUAAAAAAAAAUGAAGUGAGGAUUAAGCUAAUGUGAUUCAACACUUAGGCACUCAAAUUAUCGCAAAAUUACUUCAGGUUCUCCAUUAAGAAAUGAUGAGACAUUUAUUCUGCUUACCAUAAAUGUCCUUAUUGUAGCUGAUAUAAAUCACUCUUCCAAUACAAUUUCUAUGUGACCGAAUCCACAAAUGACUUGCAAUUUGUUUACAAGCUAAUCAUAGACGUUUUCAAAUUCUUGACGAGCACACCUCAAAAGGGCCCCGCGGUGUAACUGCACAAACUGAUUCAGGUAGGAAACAACCGAAUUUAUGAUAUUUGCUGCAUGGGUUUGCUUCUGCUGAAAAUGAUCAGAGGGAAGAAAAUAUAGACAGACAAACCGUCAGAGGUUAGACAAAAACAUAAAGAGGAACGCAAGGAAUGCAGAAGCCUUGAGUCACAUUUUGUUGGAAAUGCUUUUGCAGUAUUUUGCAUUUCUUUUGGAGAAAAUGCUUUAUAUGAUAUGUGGGCUAUUUGUUAAGAAUAAUGGGAGUUCCCAUCAUGGCUCAGGAGUUCCUGUCCUGGCUCAGGGAUUAAUGAGCCUGGCUAGUAUUCAUGAGGACAUGGGUUUGAUCCCUAGCCCUGUUCAGUGGGUUAAGGAUCCGGCAUUGUGGUGAGCUGUGGUAUAAGUGGCAGACGCACCUCAGAUCCCAUGUUACUGUGGCUGUAGCGUAAGCCAGUGGCUGUGGCGUAAGCCAGCAGCUGUAGUUCUGACUGGACCCCUAGCCUGGGAACAUCCAUAGACUGGGGUUGCGGCCCAAUAAAGACAAAAAACAAAAAAUAAAUAAAUAAAAAAAUAACGAAUCCUACCUAGAAAUUAUCAUGCUAAGUGAAAUUAGUCAGACAAUGCGAUACCAAGGUCAUAUGCUCUCACUUAUAUGUGGAAUAUAAAAAAAAGGAUACAAUGAACUUCUUUGCAGAACAGAGGCUGAUUCAACUGAUUCACAGACAUUGAAAAACUUAUGGUUCCAAAAGAAACAGGUUGUGGGGGAGGGAGGGAUGGGCUGGGGGUUUGGAAUGGAAAUACUGUAAAACUGGGUUGUGAUGAUUGUUGUACAACUGUAAAUAUAAUAAAAUUAAUCAAUUUAAGGAAAAAAGAAUAAUGUUGAAUUCAAUAAAUAGAACCAAACCUUUAAAGAUGCUGUAGGUUUUACAAAAUAAGUCUCUUGAAAUAUAUUUAUAGAAGAAAAAUAAAAUAGGGUAAAUAACAUAGGGUCGAGGGGAAGAAGAGAAUGUUAGAGUUCAAAUUCUUUUUUUUUUUUUU
rnacentral:lncRNA from 1 species